UUUGUAGAAGGAUCUCGUUUCUUUUCUUGUCGAAUACAUUGUGUUAAUUAACUAAUUAACCACCCAGACUCUAACCUAACAGACGGAUCUUUUGCGGGUCUUUUGUCGAGUUGUAGAGAUAAAAAAAAAUUUGGUUGGAUGGCAACGGCUGCAUUGCAAGCGAUAGUAACGUGAAAAGUUGUUAUUUUUCAAAGUUCUCUUAGCAAAUUUAAUGGAGAGAAGUCAAAAACUAGAAUUUAUUAGGAUAAAUCAAAGAGGCACCUUGGAAAAUUAGAUAGUCGUCUUCUUCCUCCAACACUUGAUACAUAAUCCAGAACAAAUCCAUGAGUUUAGUGGAGCACUUCAUUUGCUUAACGUGUACACGAGUGUCUGGCCUCUGGCCGAUUUUAGUGGCAUCCAGGUUGAGUGAAUGAGCCAACCUGUAAUAAAAAAGUAAAAAUUAAAAAAAAGGAAAAUUCUUACAAGAAAAAUUUCACAUUUACUUGCAAACUAUGUUUUUUUGUUUCCAAGAUAGAUCAUUGGAGAAGACGAGUAUGUCAUUUGAAUUUUGAGAAAUAAAAUUCUCCAAAAAGUUUUUCAGUUGGAGUGUAAAACACACCGUCAGAUUGAAAAACUGGGCAUCGUCUCCAAAUCCCAUUUCUUGGAAUCCAACAUUGCGCCUGAAGGAGAAAACAAAACAUCAAAACAUCAGCAAAUUUAACAUGGCUCUCCCGCGAUUUUAUACAAGUAGAUUCUUAUUCCGACCUCCCAUUCGCUUCUUCUUAUUCUACAUCUCUUUUUCGAACUUACUAUUUUCAUUUUUAAAGCCAGCAUAUCUAUCCCUUCUCUUUUCUUGAUUUUUUUAAAAGGGAAAAUUAAAAAAAAUAAAAAAAAUAAAAAGGCGAGUUGGGAGGGACGAAAAUGAGCAUUUACCGCAAGUGCAAUAAAUCACUAUCUUUCUCGAUGCAUAGCAAUGUGUGCUAGUAAGUCUUGGGAUGUAUGUAUAAGAAAGAGGGACAGAGCAUAAUACGGGCUAAAGUAUCCAGCACGGCUGUCUGAAUCGAUGAAGGCUACAUCUAUUUUCUUUUCUUGCCAGACCGUUAUUCUUUAGUAUCCACUUCCUAUUGAUUCAGAGUCAUUUAUUCAGACUCAAGUUGGAUGGAAUUGUAUAAUGUAUAUGGCCAGAGGCUAACAGGAUUUUCUAUUCACUAGGAUUGAUAACUAGAAUAGUAUUAUUUUAGAAUUACUCAGCGUGGUUAAUGGUGCUGCUGCUGGUGUAUUUGAACACAAAUUCCUCAACCCCCGAAACCUAGUGUUCUUUAAUGAGAACUAUCCGGUAUUGGGACCUCAGCAAAUUGUCAAAUGCUCCUUCUCUGGACAAUUUCCGAAAGUUAUUCUGGGCAGACGCAAUCAGUUUGCCAUCCAAAAUAACAUUGGUUUUCCUAAAUUUCCUAAUUAUUUUAUGUAGUUAAAGUGUUAAACGAUUUGUAUUUAAAGUAUUACCAUUUUGUCUGAGUAAACGUGGAAUUCACUUCCAGGUAUACACCACACAGCCUUGCUGAAUCUUGGAUAAUUUUUUUAUGCGAGCUGGUUCCAAACCAAGACCAGAUUCAAUUUCAUCAUGGUCUUUUCGCAUUAUGAUUAGAACAAAGUUUUCUAAUCCAUUGUCGACACUAUAGUCUGGAACGAUAAAGAGACGCUCUAGAGACUAUAACAACAAAAAAUGGGCCUAGUUGUCCGGAUUUUAAUUAGUUCCGGGAGUUUCCAACACAUAUUCCUUGCUUUCAUUGGUGGUCCUUCAGAGCAAAUCUUGCAAUUAUUGUCCUUUACGCUGCCGUUCCUGCAUGAACAUAAAUGUCCUAGAUUUUGGUAAUGGACUCCAGCUGGUUCUUGGAAAAAAUGUACAUUGCCAAUAACACCUCCUGAAGAUUUGACAAAUCCACCGCUCUGG
rnacentral:lncRNA from 1 species